rfam:Asian citrus Psyllid, Diaphorina citri - Florida Strain, whole genome shotgun sequence.
CACAGUGGUGAUAGCAUGUUGAACUCACCAGUUCUUGAUGAAUCAUUGAAGUUGAGCAAUGUUGUGUGUGGUUGGUAUCUGGAUGGGUGUCGACUUGGACAACCAUGUGCUUUAGGUU